GCCAGUGUGGUGUGGUGGUUUGAGUAUUAGACUAGGGCUCUAGAGACCAGGGUUCGAAUCCCAAUUUGGCC